rnacentral:rRNA from 1 species
UACGUAGGGGGCAAGCGUUGUCCGGAAUCAUUGGGCGUAAAGAGCGUGUAGGCGGCCAGAAAAGUCCGCUGUGAAAACUCGAGGCUCAACUUCGAGCUGUCGGUGGAAACUUUCUGGCUAGAGUCCGGAAGAGGAGAAUGGAAUUCCUGGUGUAGCGGUGAAAUGCGCAGAUAUCAGGAAGAACACCCGUGGCGAAGGCGGUUCUCUGGGACGGUACUGACGCUGAGACGCGAAGGCCAGGGGAGCAAACGGG